rnacentral:rRNA from 1 species
GUCUCCUUCCCCCAGUCGAUGAAAUUGAUCUGCCCGUGCAGAAGCGGACAUAAAAACAUAAGACGAGAAGACCCUAUGGAGCUUUAGGCCAAGGACCAAUCAUGUUAAGAGACUACAAAACCAAAAAGAACAAAAAAGUCAACAAACCAAAUGCAACCUCGUCCAAGUGCCUUCGGUUGGGGCGACCACGGGGAAAAAAGAAACCCCCACAUGGAAUGGAAAUUAUUUCCUUAAACCAAGAAAAACAAUUCUAAGCAACAGAACAUCUGACCAAUAUAUGACCCAGGAAAACACAUCCUGAUCAAUGAACCAAGUUACCCUAGGGAUAACAGCGCAAUCCUUUCCCAGAGCCCAUAUCGACGAAAGGGUUUACGACCUCGAUGUUGGAUCAGGACAUCCUAAUGGUGCAGCCGCUAUUAAGGGUUCGUUUGUUCAACGAUUAACAGUCCU